AGCCCUCCCCUGGGGCUCAGUCCCCGCCCCGCCCGGCCCGGCCCGGGGAUGCGGCCGGGACAGCCCUGGGCCGGGAGAGGGGAUAAGAGGAGAGAGGAGGCUCUGGGAGCGGCGGUUCAGCCCAGCUCCUUCCCUGCUCAGGACACACCACUCCACUGCUGGCAUUACUGCCUGGAGUAUCCCAGUUAGGAAAACAGCUGCUCACGGAUGCUGUGCCCUGAGCUCCUCCUCUCUGCAGCAGCCCCCUUACCGCAAGGAUGGUGUUUUGAGCAGCCUGGUCAGGCACAAGCUUCGCCUUCUCCAGGGCACUUUCAAAGUUCAGGAUUGCAGACCGGUAAUCCUUUAAUUUCACUGGAACACACAAGGAUAUCAGCUGGUUUAACCCAGGAUCAGGAGAACAACCAGAGGCUGAUCUGAGGACUUGCUUUGGCUGUUGAAUCCCAGAGAUGUUAUCAGAAUGGCUUCUCCACCCUGAGAGCAAAACCUGAGCCCACCCCCUUACCUUGUGCCUGUGCCACCAGCACGGUGGCGUGGAGCUGCCACUCCACAUCUCCCUCUUCAUCCGCUGACUCCAGAGACUUCUCUCCACAAUCUUGGGCUGUUUCAGCUUCACCCAGCUCGAGGUAACACCGGCCGAUGUCAUGGAACAGACAGGCCUUCUCCAGGUUGGAUUUUGCCAUUGGAAUCCUCUUCUCCCAGCUUCAAGCAGAGUAAGACAGGCAGUUAUCGACUGUCACUGGGUGCAGUUACGAUUCAACCACCGAUUUGACAGCUGAGGGUUCAGGUAUGGAAACCUCCCUGGCCCCUGCUGCAGUGGGAACACACAGCUGCAAAGCCAUGGCCUGGGUCACUGCAGGCCCCCACUGGCCUUCCUGCUGGGCUGUACUCACGUGUUGAUGGCCUGCUGGAACCUGCCGGUCCGGGCGUACACGCGGCCGAUGUUGUCCAGGGCACGGGACUCGGAGUCGGGCAGAGCACUGGGACAGGGAGACAGAGGGGUUGUGGCACUGGAAUUGUCCUGCUCCUGACUCACUCUGAGUCCCUUUGGUGUUCCCCGUGGCCUCAGGGAAGUGUUGGGGAGUAAAGGGCCCAGGUCAGACUGAAAGUCGUGAAAUUAAGGUCAAUUUUUAAUUUUAUUUACAGCUGGCAACUGACCCCAUGAGACACAGGGGAAAUGGCUUAGCUUUAUCUUUGAUUAUUGUUAUUUUUUUGUGCAAAUCUGGCAUUCCUUGUAAAAGUCUUUCCACUUUUCUUUGUCUCAGUUUCCCUCUGGGUCCCUGACGUUCAUGGAUGAUCUCUGUCUUCCAAAGGGAAGACCCAAAAAUGUGUCUGCAGGCUCCUGGCACCAGCCCUGCUCCCUGUGCUUGGACUGAGCUUUGCUCCAUGCCACAGGCAGCUCCUAUAACAACGGAGUCUGGGGGCUUUAAUUUUUUUUCCUUAAUUAUCCUCAUUCCCGUCUUUGCAAGUGACUUUGCCUACCCUUACCUUAGAGAAGGAAAAACCCAUGAGCGGAGCAGACAAAUGAGACGGGAAUCAUGGAAUAACCGACUGGUUUGGGUGGGAAGGGGCCCUAAAGAUCAUCCAGUUCCAGAUCCCCCACCACGCGGUCAUUAACGCGAAUCAUUACCGAGUCAUUAACGGCGUUUCCAGCUGCGGCCGCCAGAGGGCGCGGCCCGCCCGUCACCGCGGCCUUCGGGUCCUUAAAGGAACUGGAAAAGGAUCCUAAACCCAGGUAACUCCUCCUGCCUCUCUGCUGCUAAUUCCUGCCUUUAUCUAGGGAGUGAGAUCGCCAGGAGAGAGGCAUCCAUUUCCUAAACCAACACUCAUCUCCAAAGGGAUUUUUGAAAGUGAGAAGCAACCCGUCAGGGACAUUUUGAAAGCCCGGUGCAGUGCUGGCAAAAAUAACCCCCAAACCACUUCAAUUCAAGACACUGUUCCAUGUUUUCUCGUGUGCUUUGCAAGCUGUUACUAAGACUACAUUUUGCUCCACUGUGGUUCAGCUGGAAGAGCUGCAGGAUGUGUCCAGUGUGGGCAGGUAAGUGCACCUGGGAGAGACCUUGAUUUCAAGCUGCUCUCAUGGUCUGAAUGAAAAGUGUUUUAAGACAAAAUGUAGCAGAAAAAUGGUGCAAUUUCAAGCCUGAGCUUCCUGAGAAGGAAGUGUUUGCUCGAGGCUCAAGUGCUGAGACUGGGACUUGUGUUCUUUUACUUUGUUUCAGCAGAGGUUUCAGUGUGCCCCGGGCUCUAGGUCCUUGAAAAUCUGCUUCAGGCUCCUUAUUUUUGAAACAGUGAAGAUAUAAAGUCACCAGAGACCCUGAUAGACAGGCAGAGCUGAACGUGUGGCCCUCCAGAUGAGAAUUACACCAUUACCUGAUGCUAAAAACACCUCCACAGAGGUACUUUCCCCUUUCUGCACCCGCCUGAACCUCCCAGCACUUACUUCCGCCUGGCACCAUCCAGAUCCCUCCUGUAGCUGCGCAGAGCUGCCUCCAUCUGCCCCAUCUCCGCCUGCGCGUUCCCGAUGCAGCUGUGGAGCUUCCCAAUCAGUUCACUCUUGUUGGGAACUUCAUCCUCUGCCCACCCUUGUAUCUUUUUCAGGACACGCUCAGCUUUCCUGCAGCUUUCCUCAGCAGAGCCUCUGGCCAGCACUGGGGACAGGGAGCAGAGUUUGACACUGGGGAGUGACACGGAGAUACUGAGAAGUUGUGGAUUCCCCAUCCCUGGGAGUGUUCCAGGCCAGGUUGGACGGGGCUUGGAGCAACCUGGGCUAGUGGAAGGUGUCCCUGCCCAUGGCAGCAGGUGGAGCUGGAUGAGAUUUACGGUCCCUUCCAACCCAAACCAUCCCGGCAUUCUGUGAUAUUGGGGAAGGGACACCCAGUGCAGGGGCAGCCCUCAGGCAAAGGCUGGGAAUGGUCAGAGCUCCCCAGAGCAGCGGGAGGCACUCAGCUUCCAGCCAGGAACCUACUCAGCUCAAUGUCCUCCAUGUCCUUCGCGAUGGCUCUGGCAACUUCGGCGGGUUUCCGUCUCCCGUCCCCCAUCCACCUCUGCUGCAGGAGCCGCCGCUCGUACAGCCGGGCGUAGAUCGGCUUCUGCUGCUGCCAGAAGUCCCUGCGCUGGUUCAGGUAGGAGAUGCCAUCCAAAACCAGGUCUUCGACUUUGCCCCCCUGCCUCAUGUUGGUCUGCAUCAAGUCUGGAAAUAGGAUAAGGUGGAAUCCAGGUGAGCGUUGUGACAGAACUUCAGUCACUUGCAACGAAGCUGUUUCUCCUUCUCAUUUCAUCAGCACAGGUUGCUCUGAGUUGAUUUAUUGAUGGGGAAGGAAAUAAGCCUCUAGUUAUAAAUGCUGGACCUUGGCUCCAAACCACCUGCCCGUGUCCAGCACCACGUGCACAUGAGCUCCAGCACAAGUAAAGAAGAGUCACAGGGACAAAAACGAAGAGGAAAAACAAAAAAAAAAAGGAUAAGAGAAAAAGAAAAACAGAACCUGCUUGGAAGGAACAAAUAGGUAAACACAAGGGAGAAACACCUUCAUCCUUGAGCAACUUCUGCAGGAAGGUCUUGUCAUCAUAAAGCUGUCCCAGAAGCUCUCGCUCCGUUUUUGGAUUCUUCACACGCUGCUUCUUCUUCGUCCCUUUUUGAUCCUUAGUCGGUUUGGUUUGCAGUUUCUGGUUUCUGCUCUGCAGUGAGUAAAAAGCAAAGGAAGUUGGGGAAGCUCAGUGGGGAACACUGGAAUGAUCAGAAUUCUGUUAUGCUCCAUAAAAGGCAGCUUAUUUUUUAAUUAAAAGCAAAAAGUCAGUGUCUCACCAGCUGCUUUGGUCAUGAGCAAGUGAAAUUCUGCAGCCAGUUGUGCUCCCUCAGGACGAAGAGGGUGUUACAGGAAAAGCAAGAACUAGUUCUGGCCUCUUGGAGGAACAAGACCCUACUGCCAUGGAGCACCCCAAAGUGAAGCAAUUUAGAAAGUGUCCAUUAUCAAAACUGUGACCCCUCAACUUUAGGCAAACCCAAAGUCAAUACUGGAGCUCACAGCACCCUGCUGACCUCUGGGCUGUUACUCAUUAGUCAUCAGAUGGGCGACCAGCAACACCCCCAGGAAGGGGCUGGUGGGGGAAUUCCACACUGGGCUUUGUUCCUCCCCAUGGCUCUUCCCUGCCCUUCUGCAUUCUCCUUUAAGUUCUGGGUAGUUUGAGCCAGACCUGCAUUAGAAGCAGGGUCAGUGUGUUUUAAUGCUCAGGGAGCCCUUCAGCAGACCUGCUGCACAGCACCCGUGUCCCUGCAGGGACUGCCUCCCCUCCCGUGCCCAUUCCAGGCAGUUUUAGCAUUGCAACCCCUCUAGAAGCUUCUCCAGCCAGAGCUGUGUGCUGUACCUCUGCCUGCCUGCUCACGAAGCCCAGCUCCUCCUUGUUCUCCAGCUUCACCGAGGCUGGAUCUGCAGACACAGAGGGGACCCCUGUCAGUGCCCACAAAGUCCACGUGGGCUCGUCAGCAAAAUGCCCGUAAAGGUGCCAAGCCCAAAACGUUCAGUUUGAACUGCAGCUUUUCUAAUUCAUUCCCGUGGAGCAGGGGGUGUUGGUGUGUGCUGGGCACGGGGAAUGCAGCUCACCCACCAGCUCCUCUUGGGAUUUUAAUUCCUAUUUUACACAGCACCAGGAGCUCUCGUUGCAGCAUUCCUACAGACAGGCUACAUCCUGCAUGGAAACUGGGGAAGGAUGAGGCAGGUUCUUCUGGGGAAUCACAGCUGGAGUGUUAAAUGGCAGGAAAGCUCGAGCACAGGGAGCCCCUGCAAUCCAGAGAGUUAUUCUAAAGCCCAGGGGCUCGAGGGAAGUUAAGAGAUCUUGCCUUGAGCCCGGGAAGAUUCCAGCUGGGAGCUGUGGCAAUACCUGAUCACUGUGCUAAGCUCAGGAAGCAGCAGGAACGGAGGAAAACAAGCCAGAUGUGGAAACUUUCCCUGUUUUUUAAAUAACCACUCCGUAUGAAAGCGCCGCAGGCUCUGGCGCCACCGGCACGACCCGCUGGUGAUCCGAGCCAGGAGUGAUGAAAGCAGAGCUCGUUGCAAGAGUCAACAGUUUCACUGCUCUUGUGCAACGGGAAUUGGAGGAGAGUCAGGAUUUCGGGAGGCCAGUCUCAGGUAGCGUGGCACAUUUCAUUGCAAACGUUAAAUAUCGGGAUAAAGAUCUCAAAAUGGAUUCUGGAAUUAAGUGGGCUCUGGAAUUAGUGCUGGAGGUAGGUCAUAGAAUCGCAGAAUCCCAGCAUGGUUUGGGGUGGAAGGGACCUUAGAGCUCAUUCAGUCCCACCCCUGCCAUGGGCAGGGACACCUUCCACUAGCCCAGGUUGCUCCAAGCUGGCUUUGGACACUUCCAGGGCUGGGGCAGCCACAGCUUCUCUGGGCUACCUGUGCCAGGGCCUGCACCACCCUCACAGGGAAAC